CGAAUCUUUCAUAUGACUCGGGAGGCACGAGUCAUAUGAAAGAUUCGUUCAUUUUGAAUGAAUCACUUGCAAACGACACAUCACUAUUGGCGUGUGGGCCAAGCAGGAGGACGCAGAUUUCCAUCGACAGGAACACCAGGUGACUUUUACCGAGGAGGAGCUUCCCAAAAGCUCAGGAGACUUUCUACUAGGUUACUACAGCGACAACAUGAGCACCAUCGUAGGCAUUACAGAGCCAUUUCAGAUCCAGCAUCCUUCUUCCGGUCUGGAGGACAGUUCUUCUCACAGCUCUGGCUUAAGCUCAGAAGACGACAGCACCGUUGUCCACAUGAAGACCAGGGGCCUGAUGUACUAAAUGUGCGUAAAUUUUAUCGUGCGCAGGAAUACGUUUCAUUUGUAAAUCCCAGUGUGCCAUUGAGCGCACAUGCGGAAUUACCACACCACACCCCUACCUACGUAUGCAAAUAUCUUUAAAGAGGCCGUGAAUCCCAUGAUCUGCAGGUGAAUUCAUCAUAAGGAAGUGGACAAAAAGUAUUAUACUGAAGCCGAACUAUAGAUCCUAGUCAGAGAGGUGGAGAAGCGUCGAGGUGUGUGUUUUGGUGACUUGUCCGCAGGUGUAAAUAUGAAAGGGAAAAAGUGUGUGUGGUAAAAAAGAAAUGGUCCAGUAACACUGGCCUUGGUAAACGAAACCGCCUCAUCAGCCAGUAACCAUCCUCGCGUUCCCUAAAUACACGCUCCCGUCUUAUUGCAAGAUGUUCUAAUAACACUACCGCUGUAAUUGUUAAUAAUAUUUCUUCAACACUUCUUGCAUUCUUUCACAUCCACCCGUAUAACUGCAAACACGCUUGUGAGUUAAUAGUUCAUAAGUGUCUGAUGUGCACAUCACUCUGAUGACUACUUGUUAUUUUUAUUUAUUUAUUUAUAUAUAUUUUUUUCACAUUAUUAGCAGUUUCCCAGCAUCAGCACCAAGUGUCGCCAAAGGCUGACAGCUGUAGAAACGUGCGUACGGCAGCUCUUGAGCUGUCGGGAGGACCAUACAUUUCUACGAUCAUUUCAAUUUUGAGACGUCUGAACGUGAGCGUAGAAAAAGGCGUAACCAACUUUUUUGUGCGUAUGCAAGGUUUGUACAAGAGGCGCCGCACAUUUCUACGCGCAUUUCAGUUUUGAUACAUCUGAACGUGAGCGUAGAAAAGGGCGUAAGCAACUUUUUUGUGCUUAGGCAACUUUGGACUCGCAGUCCCAGUCCACACAAGGGCAAACACUGCCAUCGUUGAGGUAGCUCCCGCAGCCGUCAGUCCUGCACUAGUCAAAAAGGAAGAAUGCGGUGAGACGGCUGCUCCUCACACCAGUGGUACAGCUGAGCCAACAGGUGUCCUGAUGCUGUCUUCUGUAGGAAUAGCCAUCUGUCUCGUCCAGGGUUUAAUGAGGCUGUGUAUGUGUAAAAUGUAAGUUUUUCAUAUGUGAACUUUUUUUCUUGUUUGUUAAUCUAUGUAUGUUCCCAGGUACAGGGAUCAGACUCCAGGCAGCAGGAAAUAUUCCAAAAGUCUUUAUUCUGUGAAAAGUUAUAUAAAGUAACCACAAGUAAAAAGUAAUUUUGUUAUCUACUCUUAUGGCUGUUGGUUAUUGUACAUGUAUCUACCUAUCACCCCAUCAGACUGGAUAAAGGCUGAAGACACUGCAGUUAAGAAAUAUGGACAGACACAG